rnacentral:rRNA from 1 species
UACGUAGGGGGCAAGCGUUAUCCGGAUUUACUGGGCGUAAAGCGAGCGCAGGUGGUUUAUUAAGUCUGGUGUAAAAGGCAGUGGCUCAACCAUUGUAUGCAUUGGAAACUGGUAGACUUGAGUGCAGGAAAGGAGAGUGGAAUUCCAUGUGUAGCGGUGAAAUGCGUAGAUAUAUGGAGGAACACCGGUGGCGAAAGCGGCUCUCUGGCCUGUAACUGACACUGAGGCUCGAAAGCGUGGGGAGCAAACAGG